GACGAACGCUGGCGGCGUGCUUAACACAUGCAAGUCGAGCGGUAAGGCCCUUUCGGGGGUACACGAGCGGCGAACGGGUGAGUAACACGUGGGUGACCUGCCCUCAGCUCUGGGAUAAGCCUGGGAAACCGGGUCUAAUACCGGAUAUGACUCCAUGACGCAUGUUGUGGGGUGGAAAGCCUUGUGCGGCUGAGGAUGGGCCCGCGGCCUAUCAGCUUGUUGGUGGGGUGAUGGCCUACCAAGGCGACGACGGGUAGCCGGCCUGAGAGGGCGACCGGCCACACUGGGACUGAGACACGGCCCAGACUCCUACGGGAGGCAGCAGUGGGGAAUCUUGCGCAAUGGCGAAAGCCUGACGCAGCGACGCCGCGUGAGGGAUGACGGCCU
rnacentral:rRNA from 1 species